UACGGAGGGGGCGAGCGUUAUUCGGAAUUAUUGGGCGUAAAGGGCGCGUAGGCGGCCUCUGCAAGUCGACUGUGAAAUCUCCGGGCUUAACCCGGAAAGGUCAGCCGAUACUGCAGGGCUAGAGUGCAGAAGGGGCAACUGGAAUUCUCGGUGUAGCGGUGAAAUGCGUAGAUAUCGAGAGGAACACCUGCGGCGAAGGCGGGUUGCUGG
rnacentral:rRNA from 1 species